GAUGAACGCUAGCGGGAGGCCUAAUACAUGCAAGUCGAACGGUAAGGUCCUUCGGGAUACACGAGUGGCAAACGGGUGCGUAACGCGUACGGAACAUGCCUCUAUCAGAGAGAUAGCCCUGGGAAACUGGGUAUAAUACCUCAUAGUAUUGUAUUGCCGCAUGGUAUUUACAAUUAAAGCUCCGGCGGAUAGAGAUUGUCGUGCGUCCCAUUAGCUAGUUGGUAAGGUAACGGCUUACCAAGGCGACGAUGGGUAACUGGUUUGAGAGGAUGAUCAGUCACACUGGGACUGAGACACGGCCCAGACACCUACGGGUGGCAGCAGUCGAGAAAUCUUUCACAAUGGGGGAAACCCGUACGAUGGAGGCGACGCCGCGUGGAGGA
rnacentral:rRNA from 1 species